rnacentral:sRNA from 1 species
CUUGGUCAUUUAGAGGAAGUAAAAGUCGUAACAAGGUUUCCGUAGGUGAACCUGCGGAAGGAUCAUUACCUAGAGUUUGUAGACUUCGGUCUGCUACCUCUUACCCAUGUCUUUUGAGUACCUUCGUUUCCUCGGCGGGUCCGCCCGCCGAUUGGACAACAUUCAAACCCUUUGCAGUUGCAAUCAGCGUCUGAAAAAACAUAAUAGUUACAACUUUCAACAACGGAUCUCUUGGUUCUGGCAUCGAUGAAGAACGCAGCGAAAUGCGAUAAGUAGUGUGAAUUGCAGAAUUCAGUGAAUCAUCGAAUCUUUGAACGCACAUUGCGCCCCUUGGUAUUCCAUGGGGCAUGCCUGUUCGAGCGUCAUUUGUACCUUCAAGCUCUGCUUGGUGUUGGGUGUUUGUCUCGCCUCUGCGUGUAGACUCGCCUUAAAACAAUUGGCGGCCGGCGUAUUGAUUUCGGAGCGCAGUACAUCUCGCGCUUUGCACUCACAACGACGACGUCCAAAAGUACAUUUUUACACUCUUGACCUCGGAUCAGGUAGGGAUACCCGCUGAACUUAAGCAUAUCAAUAAGCGGAGGAAAAGAAACCAACAGGGAUUGCCCUAGUAACGGCGAGUGAAGCGGCAACAGCUCAAAUUUGAAAUCUGGCGUCUUUGGCGUCCGAGUUGUAAUUUGCAGAGGGCGCUUUGGCAUUGGCAGCGGUCCAAGUUCCUUGGAACAGGACGUCACAGAGGGUGAGAAUCCCGUACGUGGUCGCUAGCCUUUACCGUGUAAAGCCCCUUCGACGAGUCGAGUUGUUUGGGAAU